AGUGAACGCUGGCGGUAGGCCUAACACAUGCAAGUCGAACGGCAGCACAGUAAGAGCUUGCUCUUACGGGUGGCGAGUGGCGGACGGGUGAGGAAUACAUCGGAAUCUACUUUUUCGUGGGGGAUAACGUAGGGAAACUUACGCUAAUACCGCAUACGACCUACGGGUGAAAGCAGGGGAUCUUCGGACCUUGCGCGAUUUAAUGAGCCGAUGUCGGAUUAGCUAGUUGGCGGGGUAAGGGCCCACCAAGGCGACAAUCCUUAGCUGGUCUGAGAGGAUGACGAGCAACACUGGAACGGAGAAAGGGUCAAGACUCUUCCGGAGGGCGGCAGUGGGAAAUAUUGGACAAGGGGGGCAAGCCGGAUCCAGCCAGACCGCGUGGGUGAAGAAGGCCUUGGGGUUGUAAAGCCCGUUUGUUGGGAAAGAAAAGCAUCAGGUUAAUACCCCGCUGUUCUGACGGUACCCAAAGAAUAAGCACCGGCUAACUUCGUG
rnacentral:rRNA from 1 species